rnacentral:rRNA from 1 species
GACGAACGCUGGCGGCGUGCUUAACACAUGCAAGUCGAACGGAAAGGCCCUGCUUUUGUGGGGUGCUCGAGUGGCGAACGGGUGAGUAACACGUGAGUAACCUGCCCUUGACUUUGGGAUAACUUCAGGAAACUGGGGCUAAUACCGGAUAGGAGCUCCUGCUGCAUGGUGGGGGUUGGAAAGUUUCGGCGGUUGGGGAUGGACUCGCGGCUUAUCAGCUUGUUGGUUGGGUAGUGGCUUACCAAGGCUUUGACGGGUAGCCGGCCUGAGAGGGUGACCGGCCACAUUGGGACUGAGAUACGGCCCAGACUCCUACGGGAGGCAGCAGUGGGGAAUAUUGCACAAUGGGCGGAAGCCUGAUGCAGCAACGCCGCGUGCGGGAUGACGGCCUUCGGGUUGUAAACCGCUUUCGCCUGUGACGAAGCGUGAGUGACGGUAAUGGGUAAAGAAGCACCGGCUAACUACGUG